rnacentral:lncRNA from 1 species
UUUUAAUUAUGAAACUACUAAUUUCUGACGUAACCAGUUAAACUGAAGCAGGAAACUACUCCUUUCUUCAUCAAGUUAGCACAAAAGGCUGUACAGUAAAAGAGCAAGACUGGCAGAUAAUGUUAAUGUCGACCGUGAGAAGAUCCUAGCAUCUAUAAGAGAUGGACAGGUUUUGUUACGCAAAAUCAUGGAUCAAUGAGAGCUGAGUCCUAGGGAGCCGGAGUUGGAUAGCAACUGAUCGGUCGUCAGUUCCGAGAGGUCUCUCAGGCGCCUGG